UACCCUCUCAUCUUGUACUCGCCGUCGCAAUGAAUUUGUCUGUCCUUCAGCCUCGCACCGCGACCUACGCAGGCGUACCGCUCGGUACGCAUCCAGCACCACUUUGAAUCCAAUACCGGACAUUCCCCGAGACUUUUUCGUUUGGUUGUUGACUUUGUGGCUCGGUUCACGAUAGACCUGCUUUUCAAAUUUCAUGAUGCCAAGUUGCUCCCUUUGUCAUUUUUGGCCAUGGCUGUCCCCGGAUGUCUUUUGUGAAUCAAAUCAUGGAAUUCACUGCUGCUCCGCCAAACUGGCCGCGGGGACUGAAUUUGUCAAACGAUUGCGGGGCUGCAGAUGGUGCAAAUUAUCGGGGCUGACUCACAUCCUAUAUGAGCGCUCGUCCAAAUGGCGCAUUUGAACGCCCUUAUUGCGGAAGGGCUAACCUGCCCGGCCGAUGAAAACAAACACCUUUGCCUCGAAGGGGGAGGGAGGAGGCGACCGCAGAACCCAUCGGCUGCGCCUUCAUGGGCUUCCUGGAUGCCGCUUGUGUGCUUUUGUCUCGGCAUGGGUGACGGGCUUGCCAUUGGGAGAGAAUUACAGGCGUGUGAGUCGCUGCUAAUAACAGGCUUUGUGUGUGUGUGUAGAGAGGGAGCGAACUAUAUGUAUAGAUGGAUGGGUUGCUCCUUUGAGGCCGCCGCACAGCGUGCGAUGCUUGCGUAUGGCAGGUCCAGUGUGAAUUGAAAAGGUUUCUGGCGAUGAUGGAAAGAGUGUCGCUAUUCAGCUCGAAUGGUUGCACAUUGUUCAUGACUUGCGGGGCGAACACUUGCACUUUUUGGUGAGCAACAAGCCACGUGGCCUCGGGCACUUUGGUUUGGUCAGCUUCUGCAAUUUAAAAGUAAUUACUUUUGCUCCCACUGACUUUUGGUAAAUAGAGUCGGCUUAUUGUCUUGGCUCCGUUUCAGCACGCCUCUUCAUGGGUGGAUGUGCGUGUUGUUUUGAGGGAGGAAAAAUUGCUAUCGCAUGACAAUAGCUUUUCCGAGAGAAAGUCUUUUUUUUUUUUUUUUUUUUUACUUGUUUUUCAGUCCAACCCUCCCCCCCAUAUAUAUAUAUAGUGUGUGUGCGUGCAUGUGCGUGUAUGUUGACAGGCCUGUCAGUGUCAUAUCCGGCAUCUCAUUACAGCCUGGCAUUCAGGCGCCACCUGAAUGUCAGGUCCAAA